AUCAGUGUCGCCGCGCUGGGCUUUGACACCCUCGCUUCUUGUGUAGCUUUGGUCACCAGAUACAGUGAUGAUAACCUCUUUCGGGUUGACUAAUGUGCCCGUUUUGUUGUUUGCAUUAGCAGAAGAACCACAGCCAUCGCCCGUCUCCCAUCUCCAAGAUGGCGGAGGCAGCUUCAACCUCACCUCUCGCGAGGAGUUUGUCCCACUGUCUCUGAUUAGCCCCGAGGUCAGAGGGCAGCCACAGAUGGUAUAUGAUUUGUGAAACUUUGUUGGAUCCCUUUCCCACAUCGCUAGUCUUCAUCCCAUUACCUGUCGUUCAGGUGCUGCUGUGUUGGAACUCUAGAACUGGUGCAAGCUAUUUUCACACCAUUUGCCUCCUGUUGCGUGCCCUUCCUCUCUAUGCAGAUCAGAGUCUGGAAAUCCGGAUAGCGGGAUGUUGACAAAUUCCAGUGCUCUAUUAAACUUUUUUCUCCCUCCCCCCACCCCCGCCAAAUCUUGUUGCUUCCCCAGGGUUCCAUCCUCUGUCUUCCUCUCACUCAACACCCUGCUGCUUGAAUUCAAUAAAAUGCUAUGAUCUA